rnacentral:rRNA from 1 species
GAUGAACGCUGGCGGCGUGCCUAAUACAUGCAAGUCGAGCGAACAGACGAGGAGCUUGCUCCUCUGACGUUAGCGGCGGACGGGUGAGUAACACGUGGAUAACCUACCUAUAAGACUGGGAUAACUUCGGGAAACCGGAGCUAAUACCGGAUAAUAUAUUGAACCGCAUGGUUCAAUAGUGAAAGACGGUUUUGCUGUCACUUAUAGAUGGAUCCGCGCCGCAUUAGCUAGUUGGUAAGGUAACGGCUUACCAAGGCAACGAUGCGUAGCCGACCUGAGAGGGUGAUCGGCCACACUGGAACUGAGACACGGUCCAGACUCCUACGGGAGGCAGCAGUAGGGAAUCUUCCGCAAUGGGCGAAAGCCUGACGCAGCAACGCCGCGUGAGUGAUGAAGGUCUUCGGAUCGUAAAACUCUGUUAUUAGGGAAGAACAAAUGUGUAAGUAACUAUGCACGUCUUAACGGUACCUAAUCAGAAAGCCACGGCUAACUACGUG